UACGUAGGGGGCGAGCGUUGUCCGAAGUUACUGGGCGUAAAGCGCGCGUAGGCGGGCGAUUAAGUGAGAAGUGAAAGUCUGGGGCUCAACCUCAGGAGUGCUUCUCAUACUGGUCGUCUUGAGGGAGGCAGGGAGAAGUGGAAUGGCUGGUGUAGCGGUGAAAUGCGUAGAUAUCAGUCGGAACACCGGUGGCGAAGGCGGCUUCUUGGGCCUUACCUGACGCUGAGGCGCGAAAGCCAGGGGAGCGAACGGG
rnacentral:rRNA from 1 species